AUGUUGCAUUACACAGGGCACGGCCAAAACCAACAGGGCUUGGCAGCACGGCGCAGCCCCGGGCCAGGGAGCCCAGACAGCUCCUGCAGGAUGUGGGAUGAGGACAGACAGGCAGGACAGGGGGGCUCCAAGCACUCCCAGCCAGCUCCUGUCCCUGCAGGGGGGUGCCUAGAGGGGCCUAUCCACGAACGGCACUCAUCACAGCAGGGACACCAGAGGAGAUGCCAUGGAUCAGACGUGCAAGGAGGGAGUGGAACUGGGAUCCAGCCCCCCGCAUGGGCAGGGACAAACAUUGCUCCAGUCCCUUCUGCCCCCCAGGGAGCUCCGAGUGACCCCACGUGCGGACCCAGGGUCAGGCUAGAGCAGCUUGUAGAUUGUUCUGGGAUGACACUUCCCAGCUUCAGGGGACAUAGUCCUGGUCACAGCAUGGGAAAAGGGGACCACCGAUGGACCAGGUCCCCACACUCAUUCCCUGGGAGCAGCUUCAUUCCCAUGGUGCGACUUGCACAGCUCUGGGGUGGGUUCCCACUGCCAGCUCUGCUCUCAGACCCCAGACCCUGCCCGAGCAGCAGGGGUGUGGCAGGGGGGCCACGAUCACCACCUGCAAGGCAGACAGAGCACACGGGCAGCAGCUCCUCCAGCCUGGCCCUGCCUGCACCCCGCUGCCCUGUCCAGCACAGCACAGCUCCCACACAGCCUGGAGGAGAGCAGGUGCCCCGUGCCCUCUUUCCUGUUUCCUCCCGGCAGUGCAGCCAGAUCUGCUGGCAGCAUCCCAGGGGUCACUGUGCAACGGGAGCUUCCCUGGCAGCUGGGAUGUGUCUCCAAGGGCUGCAGGUGCUCGUGGGACACUGGGCUGUCCACGUUGCAGCCAGGGCACAGCAGGUGAAGGUUUGCCUCUCCAGCACAUGUGGUGCCAGUGGCUGUGGCACUGCUGUGCCCACAGUGGGUGAGGAUGGCACAAACGGGAGCCACUUGUACCAGGUCUCCUGCAGCCUGUCUCUGCUCCCUGGAACAUGCUCCCUGCAUUCCCAUCCUGCUUCUUAG
rnacentral:lncRNA from 1 species